UCAAGCGAUUCCUCUGCCUCAGCCUCCUGAGUAGCUGGGAUUGCUGGUCCCUGUCCCCACGCCCAGCUAGUUUUCAUAUUUUUAGUAGAAAUGGGGUUUUCACCAUGGGGCCAGGCUGGUCUCGAACUCCUGACCUCAGGUGUUUAUUUAAAAAAAUAGAAAAAAUAAGAGCACCCGCUUCCGCAGCGAGCAGGGUUCGAACCUGCGCGGGGAGACCCCAU
rnacentral:lncRNA from 10 species